rnacentral:rRNA from 1 species
GAGACAGCAGCAGCCGCGGUAAUACAGAGGGUGCGAGCGUUAAUCGGAUUUACUGGGCGUAAAGCGUGCGUAGGCGGCUUUUUAAGUCGGAUGUGAAAUCCCUGAGCUUAACUUAGGAAUUGCAUUCGAUACUGGGAAGCUAGAGUAUGGGAGAGGAUGGUAGAAUUCCAGGUGUAGCGGUGAAAUGCGUAGAGAUCUGGAGGAAUACCGAUGGCGAAGGCAGCCAUCUGGCCUAACACUGACGCUGAGGUACGAAAGCAUGGGGAGCAAACAGGAUUAGAUACCCCCGUAGUCCCUGUCUCUUAUAA